AGUAUUUCAUAUUAAGUGUUACGUUGUUAGUGCCAAGCACAAGUAUUAAGUGUCAAGUCUUUAAUUUUAAGUAUUUAGUAAUAAGUAUAAAGUGUUAAGAGUAAGUGUUUAGUUUAAGUUUUCUGUUUAAGUACUAAGUUGAAGUAUUAAGUAUUAAGUAUUUAGUGUUAAGAGUAAGUAUUUAGUAAUAAGUUUAAGUAUUUAGUAUUAAGAAUAAGUAUUUAGUGUUAAGAGUUAGUAUUUAGUUGAGUUAAGUUUACUUUCAUUGAUCUUAAUGUAUCUCACCACUGAUGAAUUGUCUUCCUCUGAAUCAGUUCCUGCUCCUCUGUUAACAGUCUUCUUACUCCAGCUUCAGCCUCAACAGCAACAGUUAUCACCUGCCAGAACACCUGCUCCACCCUCCAGCCUCCACCUGUUACUUCUACCAGACAAAACAUCAGCCUUGAGCUGCAGCCUGUGAGAUGACAGACUCCUCUCCACCUGCAGCCUCUGUCUCUCUGUUGCCUACAUCCUCUACCAGCAGCUUCAGCAUCAAACUGCUGCCUCACUCUUCACCUGCAGCCUCUGUCAGCAACCUGCAGCCAUCUCCUCCAACUGCACAUUCUGUUGAAUAGCUGAUGGCUGAACCUCCAUCUACAGCCUUUGCCAGUGCCUAUACCUCUCGAAGUGAACUGCUAUCCGAGCCUCCACCCACAGCCUCUGUCAGCAACCUGCAGCUUCCGCCUCCACCUGCAGAUUCCUACAGCCAUCUGAAGACGACCACUGGGGGAGUGGUCGUCUUCAGAUGAAGAUCCCCACAGAAAGCUGUGGCCAAACCUCCACCUACAGCCUCUAUAAGGAAACCUGCACAGAUGUUAUCCUACUGCCAUGUGGAGACCUGAGUGGAACAGCAAGGACCAGAGAAACACACGUGUUUUCAAACGUUGUGAAAGACUGAGCUCACACUCCUCAACAUGAACCUGACUGACUGUGAUGAUGCCUUCAUGAAACGAGAGAGCUCCACUAUCUACCAGGAGCUGCUUCAGGGCCCUGAGGACAACUCCUUUUACAACAGCUCUGUUCCAGAGAUGCUUCCUCCUCCUCCACAUCCUCCACCUUCACCACCCCUCCUGCUCAUCGCCAGAACUAAGAGUGCCCCACCCCAUCUCAGCAACCACCACCAGUUUCUCCUGCAGCCACCGCCUCCAUAUGUAGAUUCUGACAGACACUGCUGACAGCCAAACCUCCUCCUACAGCUUCUGCCAGUGCACCUGCGUCUACACCUCUUGAAGCCAACUGCGGCUGAACCUCCACCCACAGCCUCUGUCAGCAACCUGAACCAGCACCUACACCUCUCGUACACUACUGCCAUCCAAACCUCCACCUGUAACCUUUGCCAGCCGCCUGAAGACACCUCCUCCACCUGAAGAUCCCCACAGAAAGCUGGGGUCAAACCUCCACCUUCCGCCUCUAUAAGGAAACCUGCACAGAUGUUAUCCUACUGCUAUGGUUGGAUCUAAGUGGAACAGCAACGACCAGAGAAACACUGGUGUUUCCAUACGUUGUGUGAAAGACUGAGCACACACUCCUCAACAUGAACCUGACUGAUUGUGAUGAUGCCUUCAUGAAACAGAAAGAGCUCCUCUUCCUCCCACUUGCCUUGUUGGACUUCCAGAUCAAGAGAUGCUUCCUCCUCCCUAUCGUGCACGUUCACCACCCUUCCUGCUCAUUGCCAGGACUAAAAAUGCCCCUCCCCAUCUCUGCAACCACCAGCACUUUCUACGCAUGCCGAUUCAUUGAAGGCCAAAGAUUGCAGAGACGCUCCACCCGAGACUUCAGUGCCUUACUUUUCCAACAACGCCCCCUAAUACGACGUCCAAUGUGCUCUUUUAAGCCUCUGCACUGUUUUACAAUAAAUGAACUAUUGUCUGCAACCAUCUGAUCAGUAAUUUGAGACCAGAAUAAUUUGUAUAAAACAGAUCCUAAGGAUAUGAUUGUUUUUGUGUGUUUAAGUUGAAGUGUGUUCCUUUGUCAUGGUAUAUUAAUUAUUAGUCGCCACUUAUUUAGGGUUUAUAUUAAUACAUUAAUAACAUUAACACAUUCACUUUCUAGUAAUUCAUCAUGUCGGAAUUUCUUGAGCCAAAUGUACAAAGACAUCUGACACAAAAUGUAAUUACUGCAAUUACGGCUAUUUCAGCCAAUACAACAUUUCCACAAUCUCAUCUGAAAUAUCAACAAGUAUCAUUGAAAUGCGUAUUAAAUAAAUAAAAAGCG